AGCGGUCCAGGUCCUGUCUGUGUGGAAAAAAUCACAAAUAACUGCAGUAUUUGCUUCUCCAAAGAUUUCGCAAAUCACAGAGAAAACAGCCCAGGAGCCACGGAAGAUCAAGGAGUACGAACGGCUCAAAGUUAACAACGCACAUGCUGAAAGAAUGGAACGGGAUCAAAGGACAGUACCUGAGGAUCUGCUGGCUGAAGGUGUCCUUCUGUUCGUCAGAGACGCGAGAGGAAGGGAAGCCUGGAGACUGCAGGGCCUCUUUAAGCCACACAGUGAGCAGACUAAAACAAUGCUUAUUCAUGGAGAACAACACCUCUGCAAACUGAUCCAUCAAGCUGCGUGAUGACUGGCCACCAAUGGCCUAGAAAGAAGCCCAGUAAAGGUAGGGGGUCACAACAGACCCUGGAAUUACAGAAAAGAAGAGGAGGGGAGAGAAAGAAAGUGACAGGAGAGAGAGAAACCCAAAGUGAAUGAAAUAAGAAACCAAAAACACACCUGAGCUUGGAGUUGCAUAAAUGAAUCAACAAUAUCAGGAUGAUCCCUGGGCCCUAAAAUAUA